UAAAAUGCAACAUUAUCGUAGGUAUCACUUUGGAGAAAAAAAUAGUUUUGACAGGCGAUAAAAAAUUGUACGAGUUUACGAGCAUACUUCGAAUAGAAAAUUCAACCAACCUAAAUUUGAAAAGUCGAACAGCGAAGAAAACGUACAAAUCUCGUGAAUACGCACCUUCUUUUUCAACUACGAGUAGUAAAUAAAAAAUGAAACGAUUGUAUUCAAUCAGUGCAGUAAUUUUAAUUGUAUUUCUGUUGAACCAUUCAGUAAAUAGCGAUUCAACAAAUUCUCAAGCGCAGGGAGAAACUCACUCAUCAACGACAGGCAAUGGGAUGGCCUCAGGGAGUGGCACAGGAAGUGCAUCAACAAAUACCACGCCAAAUGCAGCGCCUGCUCCAGACUCGGAUAAAAGCUCAGGUGGGUCUGGAUCAUUGAACCCAUUAAAAGGUGGAAAAGCGGGGUUACUAACCGGCAGUAUGUAAAUUUGCUUCACUGCGAAGUUGAUGGAAGCUGUUCUAAUUUGGUUAUCAUACCUAUAGCCUAGGAGUAUUUAUACGGUUUAAAAGUCAUACCUGCAUUAUUCGUUAGCAUUUUUUAACAGCAAUAAAAACAAUGAAUUUUGGGAUAUUAUUUAGUUAUUACGUAAUUUAAUGUAUUCAAGUACAUAAAGAAUUGUAGAGAAAUAGAAUGAAAUAAAUUUAUUUAACGAUUA